AUUGAACGCUGGCGGCAGGCCUAACACAUGCAAGUCGAACGGUAACAGGAAGAAGCUUGCUUCUUUGCUGACGAGUGGCGGACGGGUGAGUAAUGUCUGGGAAACUGCCUGAUGGAGGGGGAUAACUACUGGAAACGCUAGCUAAUACCGCAUAACGUCGCAAGACCAAAGAGGGGGACCUUCGGGCCUCUUGCCAUCGGAUGUGCCCAGAUGGGAUUAGCUAGUAGGUGGGGUAACGGCUCACCUAGGCGACGAUCCCUAGCUGGUCUGAGAGGAUGACCAGCCACACUGGAACUGAGACACGGUCCAGACUCCUACGGGAGGCAGCAGUGGGGAAUAUUGCACAAUGGGCGCAAGCCUGAUGCAGCCAUGCCGCGUGUAUGAAGAAGGCCUUCGGGUUGUAAAGUACUUUCAGCGGGGAGGAAGGGAGUAAAGUUAAUACCUUUGCUCAUUGACGUUACCCGCAGAAGAAGCACCGGCUAACUCCGUG
rnacentral:rRNA from 1 species